rnacentral:tRNA from 1 species
GCUGAUGUAGCCCAGUUGGUUAGAGCGCUGCCCUCACAUGGCAGAGGCCGGGGGUUCGAGUCCCUCCAUCAGCACCA